rnacentral:rRNA from 1 species
UACGGAGGGUGCAAGCGUUAUCCGGAUUCACUGGGUUUAAAGGGUGCGUAGGUGGGCAGGUAAGUCAGUGGUGAAAUCUCCGGGCUUAACUCGGAAACUGCCAUUGAUACUAUCCUUCUUGAAUACCGUGGAGGUCAGCGGAAUAUGUCAUGUAGCGGUGAAAUGCUUAGAUAUGACAUAGAACACCAAUUGCGAAGGCAGCUGGCUACACGAAUAUUGACACUGAUGCACGAAAGCGUGGGGAUCAAACAGG